AUUGAACGCUGGCGGCAGGCCUAACACAUGCAAGUCGAACGCGUGGCGGACGGGUGAGUAAUGUCUGGGAAACUGCCUGAUGGAGGGGGAUAACUACUGGAAACGGUAGCUACUACCUCAUACCAUCGGAUGUGCCCAGAUGGGCUUAGCUAGUAGGUGGGGUAAAGGCUCACCUAGGCGACGAUCCCUAGCUGAUCUGCGAGGAUGACCAGCCACACUGGAACUGAGACACGGUCCAGACGCCUACGGGAGGAAGCAGUGGGGAAUAGUGCACAAUGGGCGAAAGCCUGAUGCAGCCAUGCCGCGUGUAUGAAGAAGGCCUUCGGGGCGUAAAGUACUUUCAGCGGGGAGGCGUUACCCGCAGAAGAAGCACCGGCUAACUCCGUGCCAGCAGCCGCGGUAAUUC
rnacentral:rRNA from 1 species